UGUGAUGGAGGAUUGAUUUGAUGGGCCCAGGAGGGGCUGUGUGAUAUGAUUGAACUGUUGAUGUAUGGAUUGUGAGUAUAGAAGUGCGUUUUUAGCCCUUUUGCAGGUUGGGUAGGUCCUAGGUAUAGGGGAGACUCUGCCGGAUUUUCGGCACGACUUAGGACGUAAUUGGUCUUUUUCUUUAUUUGUAUUGAGUCAGAUUGUAUUAAAUAAAUGUAAUAUGAUUGUCAGGUGAGCCGGGACAGCCUUCUUCCUCCGCCCAGCCGCCACAGUAAUUUGUCGUCAAGUCUGCCACAGGAGGAUAUUUUGUUCUGGGUUAACCUGCCUUUUUACCUCGCAGGUUGUUUAUCAAUAUUGUGUAAUUUUAAUUACUCCUAGAAUUUCCGCAUGUGUUAGCAGUAAUUAUUUGAAAUUGGUCUGUAAUAUUAUAUUCAUGUUGGACCUGUAAACUUAAUAUUUUAAGUCUGUUUGAUGGAUUGGAUGAGGGAGCUGAGCUCCCAUUUAUUAUUA